UGGGUCAUGAAUUCGUUUUUCUCAGGAGCCGCGCAAAGACACAGAGCCGGUGAGAGCUGGAGGAUCUGCCCGGGAGAUGAAGUGCUGGCCGUGCCCUGCGAGCAGGUGCGGGGAAGGCUUCCUUCCUCGGCCUGCACCGCUGCGAAAAGCAGUGAGAGCGGCAGAGUAUGCUCAGUACGGAGCUGGGAGCAGGAGAGGGAUCAUGCCUGCGUUUGUCUUCCAAGGUGACCGUAAAUGAAGUGCAACACAUGAAUGUAUUCCCCCUGAGAAAUGCAGUAAACUAUUUUGCUAUCAAGAGCAGUAAGAUUUCAUCAUACAGUGAAAUUGUUCUGAUUCUUUCCAGAUAUUUCCAUACAGCGAGAACUGUCUGCUCAGUACUGGUCACAGAAAGCACCUUGAAACUGCUACUCAGCAUUACAGAAGCUCUACUUCCAUUUCAGCCAAAGGUGGAGGAGCCGUUUUCACAGUGUAAUGAGCAAUGA
rnacentral:lncRNA from 1 species